GGGCCCCCCUAAUUGGUGUUUAAUGCAGUCUUAACGAUGUAACACAGACUUGCUCCUUUGACGUUAGCGGCGGACGGGUGAGUAACACGUGGGCAACCUACCUUAUAGUUUGGGAUAACUCCGGGAAACCGGGGCUAAUACCGAAUAAUCUAUUUCACCUCAUGGUGAAAUAUUGAAAUACGGUUUCGGCUGUCGCUAUAGGAUGGGCCCGCGGCGCAUUAGCUAGUUGGUGAGGUAACGGCUCACCAGGGCGACGAUGCGUAGCCGACCUGACACGGUGAUCGGCCACACUGGGACUGACACACGGCCCAGACUCCUACGGGAGGCAGCAGUAGGGAAUCUUCCACAAUGGGCGAAAUCCUGAUGGAGCAACGCCACGUGAGUGAAAAAGGAUUUCGGUUCGUAUAACUCUGUUGUAAGGGAAGAACAAGUACAGUAGUAACUGGCUGUACCUUGACGGUACCUUAUUAAAAAGCCACGGCUAACUACGUGCCAGCAGCCGCGGUAAUACAUAGGUGGCAAGCGUUGUCCGGAAUUAUUGGGCGUAAAGCGUUCGCAG
rnacentral:rRNA from 1 species